AUUGAACGCUGGCGGCAGGCCUAACACAUGCAAGUCGAGCGCGCGGCGGACGGGUGAGUAAUGUCUGGGAAACUGCCUGAUGGAGGGGGAUAACUACUGGAAACGGUAGCUAAUACCGCAUACCCUCAGAUGUGCCCAGAUGGGAUUAGCUAGUAGGGGGGGUAAUGGCUCACCUAGGCGACGAUCCCUAGCGGGUCUGAGAGGAUGACCAGCCACAAUGGAACUGAGACAAGGUCCAGACGCCUACGGGAGGCAGCAGUGGGGAAGAUUGCACAAUGGGCGCAAGCCUGAGGCAGCCAUGCCGCGUGUAUGAAGAAGGCCUGCGGGUUGUAAAGCACUUUCAGCGGGGAGGCGUUACUCGCAGAAGAAGCACCGGCUAACUCCGUGCCAGCAGCCGCGGUAAUUC
rnacentral:rRNA from 1 species